UACGUGAAACCGUUCAGGGGUAAACGGGAGAAAUCCUGAAUUCGAAAGGGGACACUUUGGAUUCAAGCCUACCGGAGUAGUAGGGGAUCGGCUCGCCAGAUGACGCCGGACGCCCGCGAGCGGUUCAUUCCGCACGUGGUGUCGCUCCCGGCGAUCACUCGGUGGGUUCGUGCUCCUGCACCGGGAAGCUGCACUUCUACCCUAGUAGAAACGUCGCGACCCGCUGGGUGCCGGUCUCAAGGCCCGGGAUGGCAGACCGCGUGUCCCGUGGGGGUUCCCACGGGCGCGCGGACUCCCGGUGUCCCGGCCGGCUGCCCGGCGGUAUGACCAGAGGAGUCGAUCCGCUGAAUGGGAAGCACUGUGGAUUUGUGAAGCGUCCGGCCCGGCGCCGAAACGUGCGGGGAUUGAGGUGUAAACCGGGGGCUCCCGUGCGAAGCACGGUCCCGGCCCCGUUGCGUUUUUGGUUAGCUGGUGUCCUCGGACUGGAUCGAUACUCCCGUCUGCGACGGUCAUUUUC
rnacentral:rRNA from 1 species